CCUGGGGGGCAGAGGGGCCUGGGAUACUGAGCAGUGGGGAGGGACAGGAGGAUACUCCCCGGGCUCUCACUACCAUCUGAACUCUCUCAGCCUGAUCCUCUCUAGCUUGAUUUGUGAAGGGAAAGAAGACUACACCUGCAAGUCCAUACAUCGCCAGCAGGGGGCAGUAGAUGACCAUCCAGACACCACACUGCUACUCGUGAACUGCAAAGGGUUUCUCUGUGUAGUCCUGGAUGACCCAGAACUUGCUCUGCAGACCACGUUGGCCUCGAACUUAGAAAACUGCCUCCUUUGCCUUCUGAGUGCUGGGAUUAAAGGCGUGAGCCACCGUCUCCUGAAUACAACUUUUGAGCCUUGGUUCUCAUUUCUCCUUCCAUGAACUUGGGUCAUCAGGCUUACAAAGUAAGCGUUUUUAUCCACUGAGCUAUCUCUCUGACCUUGCCUUACUUUUUGAGACAGGGUCUCCCACUGACCCUGGAGUUCACAAGUUUGGUUAGACUGGCUGACCUGAAAACCCUUGGGCACCCCUUUCUCUGCCUUCCCCAGCAUUGAGGUUACAGAUCCACACCAAUGGAAGGCUUUUAUGCAGGCGCUGGAGGUCUGAACUCAGGCACUUGACCAACUGAACCAAGUCUCUCCGGGCUGGCUUAGAUGAGGAGAUGGGAUGGGGGACCUGGCUCAGUUGGUAGUGUUUAUUCAGUACACAGGAAGCCUUGGGAGGAACACAUAGGAGGAUCAGGAGUUCAAAGACAUCCUUAGCUACAGAGCGUUUGAGGCCUGCAUGGGCUAAAAGAGAUCUUGUCUCCAAAAAAAAAAAAAAGAGGGUGUGGCUGGAGAGAUGUUUCAGCGGUUAAGAGCACUGGCUGCCCUUCCAGAGGACCAGGGCUCCAUUUCUAGCACCCACAUGGCAGCUCACAUCUGUCUGUAACUCCAGUGCCAGGGUUCAUUGGCACUCUUCUGGUUUCUGCCAGCACUGAACACACAUGGCACACAGACAGACAGACAGACAUGCAGACAAAGCACUGUGGUCUGAAUGGGAAUGGCUCCCAUAGGUUCAUGUGUUUGAACACUUGGUCCCCAUUGGUGGAACUAUUUGGAAAGGAUUAGAAGGUGUGGUCUUGAUGGAGGAGGUGUGUCACUGGGGCGGGGCCUUGAGGUUCUAAUAGUCCAAUGACCUCUCUAUUUACCUCGGGUUGUGGACCCAGAUGCAAGCUCUCAGCUGUUUCUGCUGCAAACCUUUGCUCUGCAAUCAUCGGCUCUAACCCUCUGAAACCCAAAUUAAACUCUUUCUUUUGUAA